UACGGAGGAUGCGAGCGUUGUCCGGAUUUAUUGGGUUUAAAGGGUGCGUAGACGGGCUUUUAAGUCAGCGGUAAAAAUUCGGGGCUCAACCCCGUCCGGCCGUUGAAACUGGGGGCCUUGAGUGGGCGAGAAGAAGGCGGAAUGCGUGGUGUAGCGGUGAAAUGCAUAGAUAUCACGCAGAACCCCGAUUGCGAAGGCAGCCUUCCGGCGCCCUACUGACGCUGAGGCACGAAAGUGCGGGGAUCGAACAGG
rnacentral:rRNA from 1 species